rnacentral:rRNA from 1 species
UGGGGAAUAUUGGACAAUGGGGGCAACCCUGAUCCAGCAAUGCCGCGUGUGUGAAGAAGGCCUGCGGGUUGUAAAGCACUUUUAGUGGGGACGAAAACUUGAGGACUAAUAUUCUUCAAGCUUGACUUAACCUACAGAAAAAGCACCGGCUAACUCUGUGCCAGCAGCCGCGGUAAUACAGAGGGUGCGAGCGUUUAUCGGAAUUACUGGGCGUAAAGGGUGCGUAGGUGGUUCGAUAAGUCAGAUGUGAAAUCCCUGGGCUUAACCUGGGAAUUGCAUUUGAUACUGUCAAACUAGAGUGUGGUAGAGGUAAGCGGAAUUCCCGGUGUAGCGGUGAAAUGCGUAGAUAUCGGGAGGAACAUCAGUGGCGAAGGCGGCUUACUGGACCAACACUGACACUGAGGCACGAAAGCGUGGGUAGCAAACAGG